rnacentral:lncRNA from 1 species
AAUAAUCGUAUUAAAUGUAUUCUGAAAUUCAAUGAAUGUACUCCCUCCGUCACGGUUUAGAAGGCGUGCAUGCAAAUUCUCUAGGACCUAGGUGAUUAUUGAUUGGCCGUGAAAUGAGUCAAAAAAUAGCAUUCACACUACGCAUGCAUAUAGAAGUAGUACAACGGAGUACUAAUUAGCUGCUAGGAGUAAAUGGAACGUGUCUUAAUCUUUGUCUAUUUUGAAAACGCACGCAAGUCUAACUGUGCCUUCUAAACCAUGAC